rnacentral:rRNA from 1 species
GACGAACGCUGGCGGCGUGCUUAACACAUGCAAGUCGAGCGGAAAGGCUUCCUUCGGGAAGUACUCGAGCGGCGAACGGGUGAGUAACACGUGGAUAAUCAACCUCUUGCUCUGGAAUACCCCGGGGAAACUCGGAUCAAUGCCAGAUAAAGUGCGGUGCUGUAGGGCGCCGUACCAAAGAUAGCUUCGGCCUUCGGCGAGAGACGAGUCCGCGGCCCAUUAGCUAGUUGGCGGGGUAACGGCCCACCAAGGCUACGAUGGGUAGCUGGUCUGAGAGGAUGAUCAGCCACACUGGGACUGAGACACGGCCCAGACUCCUACGGGAGGCAGCAGUGGGGAAUCUUGCGCAAUGGGCGAAAGCCUGACGCAGCAACGCCGCGUGCGGGAGGAAGGCCUUCGGGUUGUAAACCGCUUUCAGGGGAGACGAAGCUUCCAGGGUGAAUAGCCUUGCGGAGUGACGGUAUCUCCAGAAGAAGUCCCGGCUAACUACGUGCCAGCAGCCGCCGUAACAC